GGCCAGACUCCUACGGGAGGCAGCAGUAGGGAAUAUUGCUCAAUGGGGGAAACCCUGAAGCAGCAACGCCGCGUGGAGGAUGAAGGUUUUCGGAUUGUAAACUCCUUUUGUUAGAGAAGAUAAUGACGGUAUCUAACGAAUAAGCAUCGGCUAACUCCGUGCCAGCAGCCGCGGUAAUACGGAGGAUGCGAGCGUUAUCCGGAUUUAUUGGGUUUAAAGGGUGCGUAGGCGGGAGAUCAAGUCAGCGGUAAAAAUGCGGGGCCCAACCCCGUCGAGCCGUUGAAACUGGUUUUCUUGAGUGGGCGAGAGGUAUGCGGAAUGCGUGGUGUAGCGGUGAAAUGCAUAGAUAUCACGCAGAACCCCGAUUGCGAAGGCAGCAUACCGGCGCCCAACUGACGCUGAGGCACGAAAGCGUGGGUAUCGAACAGGAUUAGAUACCCGAGUA
rnacentral:rRNA from 1 species